GGGCGAAGCUGAUGCAGCACGCCGCGUGAGCGAUGAAGGCCUUCGGGUCGUAAAGCUCUGUCCUAUGGGAAGAUAAUGACGGUACCAUAUGAGGAAGCCCCGGCUAACUACCUGCCAGCAGCCGCCGUAAUACUUCGGGGGCAAGCGUUAUCCGGAAUUACUGGGCGUAAAGGGUGCCUAGGCGGUUUAUCAAGUCAGGGGUGAAAGGCUACGGCUCAACCGUAAUGAGCCUCCGAAACUGGUGAACUUGAGUGUAGGAUAGGAAAGUGGAAUUCCCAGUGUAGCGGUGAAAUGCGUAGAUCUUGGGAGGAACACCAAUGGCGAAGGCGACUUUCUGGACUACAACUGACGCUGAGGCACGAAAGCGUGGGGAGCAAACAGGAUUAGAUACCCUGGUAGUCCACCCUGUAAACGAUGACUACUAGGUGUCGGCUGUCAAAGGUCGGUGCCGGCGUUAACACAUUAAGUACUCCGCCUGGGGAGUACGCUCGCAAGAGUG
rnacentral:rRNA from 1 species